AGAGUUUGAUCCUGGCUCAGAUUGAACGCUGGCGGCAGGCUUAACACAUGCAAGUCGAGCGGGGAAAGGUAGCUUGCUACCUUACCUAGCGGCGGACGGGUGAGUAAUGCUUAGGAAUCUGCCUAUUAGUGGGGGACAACAUUUCGAAAGGAAUGCUAAUACCGCAUACGCCCUACGGGGGAAAGCAGGGGACCUUCGGGCCUUGCGCUAAUAGAUGAGCCUAAGUCGGAUUAGCUAGUUGGUGGGGUAAAGGCCUACCAAGGCGACGAUCUGUAGCGGGUCUGAGAGGAUGAUCCGCCACACUGGGACUGAGACACGGCCCAGACUCCUACGGGAGGCAGCAGUGGGGAAUAUUGGACAAUGGGGGGAACCCUGAUCCAGCCAUGCCGCGUGUGUGAAGAAGGCCUUUUGGUUGUAAAGCACUUUAAGCGAGGAGGAGGCUCCCAGUAUUAAUACUACUGGAGAGUGGACGUUACUCGCAGAAUAAGCACCGGCUAACUCUGUGCCAGCAGCCGCGGUAAUACAGAGGGUGCAAGCGUUAAUCGGAUUUACUGGGCGUAAAGCGUGCGUAGGUGGCCAAUUAAGUCAAAUGUGAAAUCCCCGAGCUUAACUUGGGAAUUGCAUUCGAUACUGGUUGGCUAGAGUAUGGGAGAGGAUGGUAGAAUUCCAGUGUAGCGGUGAAAUGCGUAGAGAUCUGGAGGAAUACCGAUGGCGAAGCAGCCAUCUGGGCCUAAUACUGACACUGAG
rnacentral:rRNA from 1 species